UCUGCGAAAUGGAUGCAGGAGGCACGCAGAGAAGAGUUGACGUUGGUGAGGUGCUGAAGGAGGCGGGGCCGCAGGGGCAGGGGGCGAGCCCUCCUUCAGCCCUCCCCCUAAGGGACAGGAGCUUUGUAGAGGAGGGCCAAGAGGUCAGUGCUACAGUAACGGAACCUUUGGUCCAGAGCCUGGGAUGUUGCCUUUUGCCCACUGGAAUUCCCAUCUUGGAAGAGUAAGCACAGGGGAUUGUCCAGACAGCCAGGAGGCCAGCGAAGCCAAGUCCUUCAGUACAGUCUGGGAGCCUCCAGGAAGCUUUUAGGAGUUGCCAUGAUGGGUGCAUUUGGACUCACAGAAUCUGCCUUCCAAUCUCAGUGCUGCUUCUACUCCUUUGCUACCUUAGAAUCUUAGGUCUUUGAAGACAGGUCCAUACCUUGUGUGUUUGUAUUUGGACAACCACAGACAUUGCCAAGAAAUGUAUCUGUUCUACUUGCACACCUUCAC